AAGAAAUAACACACACACAAAAAAAUGGCAGCCACUCUGUCUUUGUUUAAAAUUGUGAUUCUUCUUGUGCUAUUUUUCAUGGGCAAUGCAGAGGCAAAUAUUUGUCAACAACCAAGCAAAACAUUCCAGGGACCAUGUGUAGAACAGGCAAAGUGUACAAGUGCCUGCCAAAGUGAGGGCUUUCAAUUUGGAGAGUGUAGUGACUCUAUAUGCUAUUGCAAAAAGCCAUGUCCUCCCAAUUAUAUUUAAUAACCAAUAAUAAAUAUUUUGUUUUUAUUA